CGUUCUUAUGACUCGAACCCCUUCUAUGUUCAAUUUUGAAGUCAUAUUCCUGGAUACUUUGCAGCCAUCGAGCAAUUUGUCCUUCUGCAUUUUUAAACUGCAACAACCAUUUUAGAGAAGCAUGGUCAGUCCCUUUGAAUAUAAAACUAACAGGAAGGAGCAUUCCGAACUAUCCUUGAGAGAAAGCGCGAGACGAAAGCGGCCAUAUUGAGCUUCCACGUAUGACUCAUCGUUAGUUUGGUGGUUCCGUGUUCACGUGAUUGGUCGUUUGCCGUUAAUAAAAUAUGGUCAGUUGUGUAUCGUGUGGUUGUUCCCUAACACCAAAACAUAAAACUUGUGGUGUAACAUUUCACAGGUUAACCUACGAAUCACAACAUAUUACAUAGGCGUAGCUUAGGGUAACAUUAUUAUCGUUUUGUGUUAAUAUUAGAUGUAAUUAGAAAUUGGGGUUUCAGUCUCAAGGGGGAUACAAUAACAAUCCCACUUGCAGGCAAUUUACUGCAGCAUAUAAAAAAAUAUUAAUACACUCAGAAGUCAGGGAAGGUGGCGCUGGAAACUGUAUACCCCUUGAAGACAUUAACACAUUAAAUGUAAGUUCAAGGACCAAACCUCCAGAACAAAUUAUUAAUGAGUCUGUAUCAAAUCGACUCGAAAACGAAAAUAAUACUCAGGAUGAUAUGUUGAAUAAUUACCUACAUCAUCACGAUCAUAACUAUGCACUUAAUUUUGACUCUUUAUCUGCUUACAGUACAGAGG